rnacentral:rRNA from 1 species
AGAGUUUCGAUCCUAGGCUCAGCAACGAACGCUGGCGGCAGGCCUAACACAUGCAAGUCGAACGAAGUCUUCGGACUUAGUGGCAGACGGGUGAGUAACGCGUGGGACCCUACCUGGAGGUUCGGAAUAACUCGAGGGACAACUCGGGCUAAUACCGGAUACGCCCUUACGGGGAAAGAUUUAUACGCCUUUAGAUGGGCCCGAGUUGGAUUAGCUUGUUGGUGAGGUAAAAGCUCACCAAGGCGACAGAUCCAUAGCUGGUCUGAGAGGAUGAUCAGGCANACUGGGGACAUAGAGAACACGGACCAAGACUCCUACGGGACGGCAAGCAAGUAGCAGGAAUACUUCCGGACAAUGGGGACGCAANGACCAUUGACACGAGGCACAUGGCCGAGUGAGUGAACGAAGGCCCUACAGGGGUUUGGUACACACGCUACUNAUCACCCGAAUGAACAGCAUACAUGAACGAGGAAGUCCGCGAGAAACAGAAAAGGACCCCCGGGAGUACAACGUUGACAGGAGGCCAAGANCAGACACGACGGGACAAAUGACACAGAAAGGGCGGGANUAAAGCCC